CAAGACGCGGGGAGCGUGUGCAUCGCGCCGUUGGUGGACAGCGUGGCAGAAACACGACAGUGAUUGCUGCGAUAGCUGAACACUGUGGAAUACUCUAUCACGAAAUUCACUAUGGUUCAGUGACGAAGGAAGUAUUCAGUGAUUUCAUCGCAUCACUUGCAGCAAUAAUCGGAGACACAAGGUCCAUACUUGUUCUAGACAACGCUCCAAUUCACAACGGUAUCGCAGCAGUCUAUCCCGAGCUGAAUUUUAAAUUUCUCCCUCCAUACUCUCCUUGCUUGAACCCCAUAGAAAGCUGUUUAUCUGUGUUUAAAUCAUACCUGAAGCAGUACCUCCACCGUGAAGCUCCACGGUGCAACGCGGCCCACGCCAGGCAAGAAGGAGUGACUCUCAAUGCACUGAGGGAGAACAUUUUGCAAGUUGGCGUGGAAUUUGCACUGCCUAGUGUCACGGAACAUGUUGUGUCGCAGAACUAUAACCAUGUCAACACCUACUUGGUUCAAUGUAUUGAGCGCCGAGACAUCUUCAAUUGAUAUACAGUUACUAUUCGUGAGGCAGAGGAGGAAGGCAAGUCAACGGGAUGCUGAUAUGACACUCCUCUCCCCAAUCCCACUACCCCUCCCACCCUCACUUACCUUCAUCCCUACCUUACAGCCAGGCAGAAACAACCCACCAAGGUGUACGAGGCCUUUACUGUGAAUUGCUUCGUCGAAGUAUCAUGACACCAAUGUAUUUAGCUAUUAGUAUAAGGCCCUUUUUUCUUUGUUUCUUUUUAAGCAAUCGUAUGUUUUAUGUAGCUACUACAUACUAAAGACUAAAGGCAUUACAUAAUUACAUAUGUUUAUACCAGAAUUCAUUGUGUUGUUGAUGUUUGUGUAAGUAUACUCAAAAAUUAAAUAUUCAUGGCUGUUACUGAUUUUAAAGAUUGUUGAAUAAAUUCUUUUCAAUGA